GUAGGUGGCAAGCGUUGUCCGGAAUUAUUGGGCGUAAAGCGCGCGCAGGCGGUCCUUUAAGUCUGAUGUGAAAGCCCACGGCUCAACCGUGGAGGGUCAUUGGAAACUGGAGGACUUGAGUACAGAAGAGGAAAGCGGAAUUCCAAGUGUAGCGGUGAAAUGCGUAGAGAUUUGGAGGAACACCAGUGGCGAAGGCGGCUUUCUGGUCUGUAACUGACGCUGAGGCGCGAAAGCGUGGGGAGCAAACAGGGAUUAGAUACCCUGGUAGUCCACGCCGUAAACGAUGAGUGCUAAGUGUUAGGGGGUUUCCCGCCCCUUAGUGCUGCAGCUAACGCAUUAAGCACUCCGCCUGGGGAUACGGCCGCAAGGCUG
rnacentral:rRNA from 1 species